GUAACAAGGUUUCCGUAGGUGAACCUGCGGAAGGAUCAUUACCGAGUGUAGGGUUCCUAGCGAGCCCAACCUCCCACCCGUGUUUACUGUACCUUAGUUGCUUCGGCGGGCCCGCCAUUCAUGGCCGCCGGGGGCUCUCAGCCCCGGGCCCGCGCCCGCCGGAGACACCACGAACUCUGUCUGAUCUAGUGAAGUCUGAGUUGAUUGUAUCGCAAUCAGUUAAAACUUUCAACAAUGGAUCUCUUGGUUCCGGCAUCGAUGAAGAACGCAGCGAAAUGCGAUAACUAGUGUGAAUUGCAGAAUUCCGUGAAUCAUCGAGUCUUUGAACGCACAUUGCGCCCCCUGGUAUUCCGGGGGGCAUGCCUGUCCGAGCGUCAUUGCUGCCCAUCAAGCACGGCUUGUGUGUUGGGUCGUCGUCCCCUCUCCGGGGGGGACGGGCCCCAAAGGCAGCGGCGGCACCGCGUCCGAUCCUCGAGCGUAUGGGGCUUUGUCACCCGCUCUGUAGGCCCGGCCGGCGCUUGCCGAACGCAAAUCAAUCUUUUUCCAGGUUGACCUCGGAUCAGGUAGGGAUACCCGCUGAACCUAAGCAUAUCA
rnacentral:misc_RNA from 1 species